AUCUGGCUGGCUCAGUGAGUAGAGCAUGUGACUCCUGAUCUCAGAGUCAUCAUGAGUUCAAGCCUCAUGCUGGGCA
rnacentral:tRNA from 1 species